AGGAGCAGUGCCGGCCAAGGCGCC
rnacentral:miRNA from 1 species